rnacentral:tRNA from 2 species
UGCGGGAUCGUAUAAUGGUAGUACAGCGGCCUUUGAAGCCGUGAAUCUUGGUUCGAUUCCAAGUCCCGCAG